UACGUAGGAGGCGAGCGUUGUCCGGAAUUACUGGGCGUAAAGAGCGCGUAGGCGGCACUGUACGACCGCUGUGAAAGCCCCCGGCUCAACUGGGGAGGGUCAGUGGUAACGGCAGAGCUGUGAGUGCAGGAGAGGGAAGUGGAACUCCGGGAGUAGCGGUGAAAUGCGUAGAUACCCGGAGGAACACCAGUGGCGAAGGCGGCUUCCUGGCCUGUAACUGACGCUGUGGCGCGAAAGCUAGGGGAGCGAACGGG
rnacentral:rRNA from 1 species